rnacentral:rRNA from 1 species
GAUGAACGCUGGCGGUAUGCUUAACACAUGCAAGUCGAACGGACUCUUCGGAGUUAGUGGCGGACGGGUGAGUAACGCGUGAGAAUCUGGCUUUGGGUUCGGGACAACCACUGGAAACGGUGGCUAAUACCGGAUGUGCCGAGAGGUAAAAGAGAAAUUGCCUGAAGAUGAGCUCGCGUCUGAUUAGCUAGUUGGUGAGGUAAAGGCUCACCAAGGCAGCGAUCAGUAGCUGGUCUGAGAGGAUGACCAGCCACACUGGGACUGAGACACGGCCCAGACUCCUACGGGAGGCAGCAGUGGUGAAUUUUCCGCAAUGGGCGAAAGCCUGACGGAGCAAUACCGCGUGAGGGAAGAAGGCUCUUGGGUUGUAAACCUCUUUUCUUAGGGAAGAACAAAAUGACGGUACCUAAGGAAUCAGCAUCGGCUAACUCCGUG